AAACUUUUUCGAUAGCAUUAGCUGGUUACAGGUCUGGCGUGUGUUUCGCCAGGCCCAGUUGCCACGUAAUGUG
rnacentral:sRNA from 11 species